rnacentral:tRNA from 1 species
UAGUGGUGUUAGCUAAAAGAUGUCUUCUAAAUAUCUUAAGAGGGUGCAAUUCCCUCAUCACUUU